UUCAAGUCCAGUCUUGCACAACCAUUUGACAGCUGGAAGUGAGGGCUGCGAUCAUCUUAGGCGGUUUGCAACGUGACCCAAGGACAUUUUGAAGUAUGCCAUGGCAGAGCCCAGAGAGACGCCCAGUGAGGGCAGCUGACUCCGCCCCUUCUGGUCCGCCACCUGUAAGUUCCGAGGCUACCAGAAGGAGGAGUCAUUCUACGAUCAGAGCACCAGCCUGCAGGAUGGAGCUUCACACUUGUGACGUACAUGUAAAGGAACCCUUCGCUUGAGCCCUGCAAGGAGAUCUGCUGUUUUGAUCGAUUUUUGACAUCUGGGUUUUGUCCUCAGCUUUAUUCUCUCAGUCCCUCCUUUCUGAUCUCCUUGGAGGAGUGCAGUGCAUUUUCUGAAAAUUGGAUAUGGCGCUUAUUUUCCACACAAAGAUGAACUGAAACAUCCUAUCGUGUACAUCAUUGGUUUUUCUCCACUGGAAAAACUCACUACCAUGAACUCCCUGUUACUCCUGGCUGUUACCUAACCCUAUCCCUAACCUCCCACAUUUACCACUUUUUUAUCUGAACGACAGGGGGCGCUAUUCAUUUGAACCCUGUAUUUUAAUUGGAUUUUGGGGUGGAAAUCGAUGGAAGGUUUUAUAUAUGGCUGUUUCCUGCAUUUUAGACAAUUUAGCACCAAUUUUAUGGGGUUUGAAGGUAUUUUAUACACUUUUAAAGUAUUUUUUACAUCAUUUUAGAAAGGAUAUAUAUUUUAUAUAUAAUUUAUUUGUGAAAUAAGUGUGCCAGGGCAUGCCAUCAGGCUGUUAUCCCCUACCCUACCCCUAACCUCCCUUUCCUGUUUCUUGAUUCUUGCAGAAGAGGUUGAGGAUAUCCACACCUAGGCUGACAUUCACAGUCACACCUUGCCCGUUUACUGUUAAUCAUUAACUUAAUGUCUCUGUGUGGGAGUUCACUCAGGUCCACGUCACCCACCUCUCAGUGACAUGUUCUUCCUUAGAGAUCAAGGGCCUCAUGUAUAAUACUGUGCGUAGAACUCACACUAUAGCAUGGCGUAAGCACAAAA